rnacentral:rRNA from 1 species
GACGAACGCUGGCGGCGUGCCUAAUACAUGCAAGUCGAACGCAGUGGGGACGGGUGAUUAACACGUGGGUAACCUCCCAUCAGAGGGGAUAACACUUGGAUACAGGUGCUAAACCGAUACUGAUGGAUGGACCCGCGGUGCAUUAGCUAGUUGGUGGGGUAACGGCGCACCAAGGCCACGAUGCAUAGCUGACAGGGGAGGGUGAUCGGCAACACUGGGACUGAGACACGGACCAGACUCCUACGUGAGGCAGCAGUAGGGAAUAUUGGGCAAUGGACGAAAGUCUGACCGAGCAACGCCGAGUGAGUGAAGAAGGUUUUCGGAUCGUAAAACUCUGUUGUUAGAGAAGCGGGAUCUAACCAGAAAGCCAAGGCUAACUACGUGCCAGCAGCCGCGGUAAUUC